rnacentral:rRNA from 1 species
UACGUAGGGUGCAAGCGUUGUCCGGAAUUAUUGGGCGUAAAGAGCUCGUAGGCGGUCUGUCACGUCGGCUGUGAAAACCCGGGGCUCAACCCCGGGCCUGCAGUCGAUACGGGCAGACUAGAGUGCGGUAGGGGAGACUGGAAUUCCUGGUGUAGCGGUGAAAUGCGCAGAUAUCAGGAGGAACACCGGUGGCGAAGGCGGGUCUCUGGGCCGAUACUGACGCUGAGGAGCGAAAGCGUGGGGAGCGAACAGG